GCUUCCGUAGCUCAGUUGGAAGAGCGCAGGUCUCAUAUUCUAUCGUGAAGGUUGCAUCAGCCUCAAAUCCUGAGGUCGACGGUUCGAGCCCGCCCGGGAGCA